GUCCUCGUAGUUCAACUGGAUAGAACGUCGGCCUCCGAAGCCGAAGAUUGCGCGUUCGAAUCGCGCCGAGGACACCA
rnacentral:tRNA from 1 species